AAGGCCUGAUGUGUGUGAGAUUACCCGCUGAAUUUAAGCAUAUAAGUAAGCGGAGGAAAAGAAACUAACUAGGAUUCCCUUAGUAAUGGCGAAUGAACAGGGAUCAGCUCAGUGCCAAAUCGGAAUCACUUGUGGUUCUGAAAUGUGGCUUGAAGGCAGUACCAGUGGCAUCGCGGACGAAAGUCUCUUGGAAAAGAGCGUCAUAGAGGGUGAGAAUCCCGUGAGUCGUUCGCCGUUUGUCACGUACGGUCUGCGU
rnacentral:ncRNA from 1 species